GACGAACGCUGGCGGCGUGCUUAACACAUGCAAGUCGAACGAAGUGGCGAACGGGUGAGUAACGCGUACUCAACCUGCCCUUCAGAGGGGGACAACAGUUGGAAACGACUGCUAAUACCGCACACUGAAUGAGGGGAUUGCGUCUGAAUAGCUAGUUGGAGUGGUAACGGCCCACCAAGGCGAUGAUCAGUCGCCGGUCUGAGAGGAUGACCGGCUACAUUGGGACUGAGACAGGGCCCAGACGCCUACGGGAGGCAGCAGUGGGGAAGCUUCCGCAAUGGACGAAAGUCUGACGGAGCAACGCCGCGUGAGUGAUGACGGCCUUCGGGUUGUAAAGCUCUGUUAAUCGGGACGCGGUACCGGAAUAGAAAGCCACGGCUAACUACGUGCCAGCAGCCGCGGUAAUAC
rnacentral:rRNA from 1 species